ACGCUGGCGGCGUGCUUAACACAUGCAAGUCGAACGAUGAAGCCUAGCUUGCUAGGUGGAUUAGUGGCGAACGGGUGAGUAAUACGUGAGUAACCUACCUUUAACUCUGGGAUAAGCCUGGGAAACUGGGUCUAAUACCGGAUACGACCAAUCUCCGCAUGGGGUGUUGGUGGAAAGCGUUAUGUAGUGGUUAUAGAUGGGCUCACGGCCUAUCAGCUUGUUGGUGAGGUAGCGGCUCACCAAGGCGACGACGGGUAGCCGGCCUGAGAGGGUGACCGGCCACACUGGGACUGAGACACGGCCCAGACUCCUACGGGAGGCAGCAGUGGGGAAUAUUGCACAAUGGGCGCAAGCCUGAUGCAGCGACGCCGCGUGAGGGAUGACGGCCUUCGGGUUGUAAACCUCUGUUAGCAGGGAAGAAGAGAGAUUGACGGUACCUGCAGAGAAAGCGCCGGCUAACUACGUGCCAGCAGCCGCGGUAAUACGUAGGGCGCGAGCGUUGUCCGGAAUUAUUGGGCGUAAAGAGCUUGUAGGCGGUUUGUCGCGUCUGCUGUGAAAGGCCGGAGCUUAACUCCGUGUAUUGCAGUGGGUACGGGCAGACUAGAGUGCAGUAGGGGAGACUGGAAUUCCUGGUGUAGCGGUGGAAUGCGCAGAUAUCAGGGGGAACACCGAUGGCGAAGGCAGGUCUCUGGGCUGUAACUGACGCUGAGAAGCGAAAGCAUGGGGAGCGAACAGGAUUAGAUACCCUGGUAGUCCAUGCCGUAAACGUUGGGCACUAGGUGUGGGGGACAUUCCACGUUUUCCGCGCCGUAGCUAACGCAUUAAGUGCCCCGCCUGGGGAGUACGGCCGCAAGGCUAAAACUCAAAGAAAUUGACGGGGGCCCGCACAAGCGGCGGAGCAUGCGGAUUAAUUCGAUGCA
rnacentral:rRNA from 1 species